rnacentral:rRNA from 1 species
UACGUAGGGUGCAAGCGUUGUCCGGAAUUAUUGGGCGUAAAGAGCUUGUAGGCGGUCUGUCGCGUCUGCUGUGAAAUUUCGGGGCUCAACCCCGAACUUGCAGUGGGUACGGGCAGGCUAGAGUGUGGUAGGGGAGACUGGAAUUCCUGGUGUAGCGGUGAAAUGCGCAGAUAUCAGGAGGAACACCGAUGGCGAAGGCAGGUCUCUGGGCCACUACUGACGCUGAGACGCGAAAGCGUGGGGAGCGAACAGG